UGGGUAACACUAACUGGAGGACCGAACCGACUAAUGUUGAAAAAUUAGCGGAUGACUUGUGGCUGGGGGGGAAAGGCCAAUCAAACCGGGAGAUAGCUGGUUCUCCCCGAAAGCUAUUUAGGUAGCGCCUCGUGAAUUCAUCUCCGGGGGUAGAGCACUGUUUCGGCAAGGGGGUCAUCCCGACUUACCAACCCGAUGCAAACUGCGAAUACCGGAGAAUGUUAUCACGGGAGACACACGGCGGGUGCUAACGUCCGUCGUGAAGAGGGAAACAACCCAGACCGCCAGCUAAGGUCCCAAAGUCAUGGUUAAGUGGGAAACGAUGUGGGAAGGCCCAGACAGCCAGGAUGUUGGCUUAGAAGCAGCCAUCAUUUAAAGAAAGCGUAAUAGCUCACUGGUCGAGUCGGCCUGCGCGGAAGAUGUAACGGGGCUAAACCAUGCACCGAAGCUGCGGCAGCGACGCUGAUGCGUUGUUGGGUAGGGGAGCGUUCUGUAAGCCUGCGAAGGUGUGCUGUGAGGCAUGCUGGAGGUAUCAGAAGUGCGAAUGCUGACAUAAGUAACGAUAAAGCGGGUGAAAAGCCCGCUCGCCGGAAGACCAAGGGUUCCUGUCCAACGUUAAUCGGGGCAGGGUGAGUCGACCCCUAAGGCGAGGCCGAAAGGCGUAGUCGAUGGGAAACAGGUUAAUAUUCCUGUACUUGGUGUUACUGCGAAGGGGGGACGGAGAAGGCUAUGUUGGCCGGGCGAUGGUUGUCCCGGUUUAAGCGUGUAGGCUGGUUUUCCAGGCAAAUCCGGAAAAUCAAGGCUGAGGCGUGAUGACGAGGCACUACGGUGCUGAAGCAACAAAUGCCCUGCUUCCAGGAAAAGCCUCUAAGCAUCAGGUAACAUCAAAUCGUACCCCAAACCGACACAGGUGGUCAGGUAGAGAAUACCAAGGCGCUUGAGAGAACUCGGGUGAAGGAACUAGGCAAAAUGGUGCCGUAACUUCGGGAGAAGGCACGCUGAUAUGUAGGUGAGGUCCCUCGCGGAUGGAGCUGAAAUCAGUCGAAGAUACCAGCUGGCUGCAACUGUUUAUUAAAAACACAGCACUGUGCAAACACGAAAGUGGACGUAUACGGUGUGACGCCUGCCCGGUGCCGGAAGGUUAAUUGAUGGGGUUAGCGCAAGCGAAGCUCUUGAUCGAAGCCCCGGUAAACGGCGGCCGUAACUAUAACGGUCCUAAGGUAGCG
rnacentral:rRNA from 1 species